rnacentral:rRNA from 1 species
UACGGGGGGGGCAAGCGUUGUUCGGAAUUACUGGGCGUAAAGGGCUCGUAGGCGGCCAACUAAGUCAGACGUGAAAUCCCUCGGCUUAACCGGGGAACUGCGUCUGAUACUGGAUGGCUUGAGUUUGGGAGAGGGAUGCGGAAUUCCAGGUGUAGCGGUGAAAUGCGUAGAUAUCUGGAGGAACACCGGUGGCGAAGGCGGCAUCCUGGGCCAGCACUGACGCUGAGUGAGCGAAAGCCAGGGGAGCAAACGGG